rnacentral:rRNA from 1 species
ACCGGUGAUAAUGGCAAGAGGGACCCACCUGUUCUCAUUCCGAACACAGAAGUUAAGCCUCUUAGCGCCGAUGGUACUUGGCUGGAGACGGCCUGGGAGAGUAGGACAUUGCCGGUU